GCGUGCUGGUUCAUGGUAAGCGGCAGGACGGUGGAUGCGUGCAGCUCUGGAUAUCGCGAUUCUUUCAGCUGCGUAGCUUCGGAUGUCGUGAUUCUUCCAAGUGCGUAGCUUCGGAUAUCGCGAUUCUUUCCAGCCACUUCAUACCGCAGGAUUGGGGAGCUGAGAGUCCGGAGGCCGGCAGUGAAGAGGCAACUGGAAACCCGAUCAGCGCUAAAAAUAAAGACUACCAGCGCGCCCUGCCUGCAGUCAGCCCAGACCGAGCCCAUCCACCCUGUAACUGAAGAGGAUCUUACACCAUAGUGCAUCAAUUA